rnacentral:lncRNA from 1 species
GUUACGUAUCAGAGCAUCCUAAGACUCAGUGAGGAAUAACUCACUCACGACAGCAACACCAGCAACCUACUAACGAUCACCUGCAAGUUACUCAUACGAAGAGCAACAUUUCCAAGCAGAAGGGGUGAGAUUUCACAAAACAAUAAUAUUAAGCAUAUAAUUCAACAUUUAUAUUUAACAACCUAAAAUCAUCAUAAUAUUCAUCAUAGACAUU